UCUCAAGUAAAAAAACUGUUACCAACCUUUAUUUCUCAAUCUCUUGAUAUCCCAUAUGGGUGUUCUUCAUGUCAGCUCUUAUAUAUUAUGGGUUUAUGCACAGUUACAUGGGAUUGAAAUGCAUCUUCGGAGAAUUUAUUGUGAUAUAUCUGUAUAUAUACAACCUUCAAUUCACAUUACUGUGGUGUUGAAUUAGGUCCAGUACAAUGAAAUUCUUCGUAAAUGGGCUUCAAAGACAGUUUAUAAAGCUUUUGAUGUGUAUGAAGGGAUUGAAGGAGCAUGGCAUCAGGUGAAGCGACCCUCUACGAGGGAGUCGAUGAGGUCAACAUAGUGAAGGUUUUCGAUAUUGAUUCUAUGUAUUUACUCAAUUCUCGGGAAUGAAAUUAUACAGGGUCUUUGCGUAGAGAUGGA